AUUGAACGCUGGCGGCAGGCUUAACACAUGCAAGUCGAGCGGAGAUGAGGUGCUUGCACCUUAUCUUAGCGGCGGACGGGUGAGUAAUGCUUAGGAAUCUGCCAUUUAGUGGGGGGACAACAUUCCGAAAGGAAUGCUAAUACCGCAUACGUCCUACGGGAGAAAGCAGGGGAUCUUCGGACCUUGCGCUAAAUGAUGAGCCUAAGUCGGAUUAGCUAGUUGGUGGGGUAAAGGCCUGCCAAGGCGACGAUCUGUAGCGGGUCUGAGAGGAUGAUCCGCCACACUGGGACUGAGACACGGACCAGACUCCUACGGGAGGUAGCAGUGGGGAAUAUUGGACAAUGGGCGGAAGCCUGAUCCAGCCAUGCCGCGUGUGUGAAGAAGGCCUUUUGGUUGUAAAGCACUUUAAGCGAGGAGGAGGCUACUAGUACUAAUACUACUGGAUAGUGGACGUUACUCACAGAAUAAGCACCGGCUAACUCUGUGCCAGCAGCCGCAGUAAUAC
rnacentral:rRNA from 1 species